CUCAAUGAUGCAUCUACAAUAGGCUCAGGGUUUGAUCUAAUCAACACUAGUUCUCUAGAUUCACUAGAUUGUGUCGAUUUUUCUAUCCAUUGAACUUCAUCAAGUUCAACUUAGAGGCAUUAGUUCCUUCUUCAAGGAACUCCUUUUCCAAAAAGGCAGUCCUAAGGCUUACGAACACCUUUUGUUCAUCAGCAAGGUAGAAAUAAUAUUUCUUAGUUUCUUUCAGAUAUCUUA
rnacentral:lncRNA from 1 species